CCUACGGGAGGCUGCAGUGGGGGAUAUUGCACAAUGGGGGAAACCCUGAUGCAGCGACGCCGCGUGGGCGAAGACGUAUUUCGGUAUGUAAAGCCCUAUCAGCAGGGAAGAAGAAAUGACGAUGCCUGAGUAAGAAGCACCGGCUAAAUACGUGCAAGCAGCCGCGGUAAUACGUAUGGUGCAAGCGUUAUCCGGAUUUACUGGGUUUAAGGGGAUCGCAGGCGGCACGGCAAGCCUGAUGUGAAAGCCCGCGGCUCAACCGCGGGACUGCAUUGGGAACUACCGGGCUGGAGUGCCGUAGAGGUAGGCGGAAUUCGUAGUGUAGCGGUGAAAUGCGUAGAUAUUAGGAGGAACACCAGUGGCGAAGGCGGCCUACCGGACGGUGACUGACGCGGAGGCUCGAAAGCGUGGGGAGCAAACAGGAUUAGAUACCCUAGUAGUC
rnacentral:rRNA from 1 species